rnacentral:rRNA from 1 species
CGCCCUUACGGGAGGCAGCAGCAAGGAAUUUUCCCCAAUGGGCGGAAGCUGAGGGAGCAACGCCGCGUGGAGGACGACGGCCUUCGGGUUGUAAACUCCUUUCGGGUGGGACGACCACGACGGUACCACCAGAAGCAGCCCCGGCUAACUCUGUGCCAGCAGCCGCGGUAAGACAGAGGGGGCAAGCGUUGUCCGGAGUUACUGGGCGUAAAGGGCGCGGAGGCGGUCUGCGGCGUCGGCGCUGGAAGCCCCGCUUAACGGGGCGAGGAGUGCCGAUACGCGCAGACUUGAGGCGAGCAGAGGGUGGUGGAAUUCCCGGUCGGGCGGUGAAAUGCGUGGGGGUCCCGGGGGGCCCC